rnacentral:rRNA from 1 species
GGGGAAUAUUGGGCAAUGACGCAAGUCUGACCCAGCAACGCCGCGUGAAGGAAGAAGGCUUUCGGGUUGUAAACUUCUUUUAAGGGGGAAGAGCAGAAGACGGUACCCCUUGAAUAAGCCACGGCUAACUAC